rnacentral:misc_RNA from 1 species
AAAUAUAGUUCUCUGCAAGGCUUUCAGCCACUCUAGCCUACACCUUCAGAGAAGAUGUAGUGAAGUAUUUCGUGAUUAAACAUCAACCUUAUUUAGUCGUUUAUUUAAAACGAGAAUACAAAACAAGAACUAGUAGCAAAGUAACUAGAAGUGACAACCAUGACGUCAGUGAUACAUAUCGUGUCGCUUCUAGCAGUGUUGACGGCGCCGGCGCUUGCCGUGCAAGUGAGAGUGAGCGACGGCUUGUUGGAGGGAGAGCGACUGAUCAACGAGUAUGGCGGUGCUGAGUACUUCAGCUUUAGAGGAAUCCCGUAUGCGCAGCCACCUCUCGGAGAUCUCAGAUUCAAGGCUCCACAACCUCCGACUCCAUGGAACAAUGUCCGCAGCGCCAAGGAGUUUGGUAACAAUUGUCUGCAGUACGACUUAUUCAUAGACAAAGGAAAGCGAAGUGGCGAUGAAGAUUGUCUGUACCUCAACGUGUACACUCCUGAGAUCACUCCCAGCGAGCCUCUGCCAGUCAUGGUCUGGAUCCACGGAGGAGGCUUCGUCUCCGGCAGUGGGGAUGACGCUAUAUAUGGACCUAAGUUCCUUGUGAGACACGGAGUUAUUUUAGUCACGAUUAACUACCGACUCGAAGUUCUUGGUUUCCUUUCCUUAGACACAGAAGAAGUCCCUGGAAAUGCAGGAAUGAAAGAUCAAGUGGCUGCCCUCAGGUGGGUCAAUAAGAACAUCGCCAACUUCGGUGGAGACCCUAACAAUGUUACCAUAUUCGGCGAAAGCGCCGGAGGAGUCAGUGUCUCUUAUCAAGUAAUCUCACCAAUGUCCAAAGGAUUAUUCAAGAGAGCCAUAGCUCAGAGUGGUGUCAGUGUCGGUUAUUGGGCGCAGUCAUAUAGGCCAAGAGAAAGAGGCUUCGCUUUGGCCAGGAGUUUAGGAUUACAUACUGACAAUGUCACCGAAGUUUAUGAGUUCCUGAAAGUUCAACCAGCUGAAUCACUCGUACAAAUCAAGGCGGCAGUAACAUACUCCGAACACGAAAGACCCAACGUUGAAGUUUACUUUAGCGUGACUGAUGAAAAACAAUUCGGAAACAAUGAGAGAUUCUUCUACGGAGAUAUGGUGAAUGCAGUAUCAAACAACGUGCACGAAGGAGUAGAUAUUAUGACAGGAUACACAGCUGACGAAGGACUCAUGGGUGUUGCUAUAUUCGGUCAAAUCAAUUCAAGUUUGGAACAAGCUAGAAGUUUCCCACAAUUCUUUGUAUCCUACCCAAUGUCGCUCAAUUUGCCAGUUGAUGAUCAAUUGGAACUUGGAAUGAAAAUCAGGGACUAUUAUUUCAAAAAUCAGAUUUCAAUACCUGAUGAUUGGGAAGGUCUAUCAAGAUAUUACGGCAUGGAUAUAUUCUCAUUCCCCACUGUGUGGUGGAUUAGGCUAAUCGCUCGCACGAAUAAGAACAAAGCAUAUCUGUACAAAUUCACCGUCAAGUCCGAGCUGAACAAGGCUGCGCAUAUGAUGGGAUUAGCCGACAUACUCGGAGACAGGCAGGUGGUCGCUCACAGUGACGAUUUGUCUUACUUGUUCAGUUCGCGACACAUGCCUAUUUUUGACAUGACCACGACCCCAUUCUUAUACAUUGACCGUGUUUGUAGGCUGUGGGUCAAUUUCGCGAAAUAUGGGGACCCUACUCCUGACGCAUCGUUGGGUGUGGAGUGGAAGCCAUACUCGCUGGAGAAGCAAGACUAUCUGGAUCUUGGCAACCAGCUGGUGGCCGGGAACGAGCCAGAUGCCGAAGAAAUAAAGUUCUGGGAAGAUACUCUAAUUGAAUUCGGUCAGAAACUGUACUUGGAUGAAGAUGAGGAUUCGGUCAACUCAUCCCGGUCAGCACUUAUCCCGCAGGAUAAGUUGUCCGCAUUAAUAUUAUUAUUAUUUUUCUUUGGUCAACUCAUCCGGCUUUAAAGAAAAGGUUCGUGAUCAAAAGUGUUGGGGGAAAAAUGACAAUGACCAAAGCCUCGACUGUACUGAUUAAUUAUACAAGACUGGUCAAAUACAACAAGUUCAGCGCAAAGUACCAAGAUGCCUGAUUGUAAAUUGACAAAGAAGAAAGCAACAUUACAAGGACAUAAAAUACGAAGAUUACAGUAACGUUAGUCCAAUUCCUAAUGAUACUCCUCCUACUACUGCCACUAUUGAGAAACACGUGGAUCUUUUGAAAGAUAAUUACAAAGGUCACCAUUUUACUGGAUUGUUUGCAAUGAAUGAUGACAUUCAUAAUAAAGCCUGAGCUAUAGAAGACAAAGUCGAAGUAAGACGCGUAAUACAGAAAAUUAAUUGAACCGUAUCUUUUGAGAUUAUCAUCAAGUAUUAUUUCCGUCACCCGAUACACGUACCCUGAUAAAAAGAUUACAAGUCCACACAUUAAAAUUAACUUUUGCAAGCAAUCGUUUGGUUUUACCAAAUUCUUCCUGAUGUGAAAUUUUGGAUUGAACACUAGAAUUUGUAAUAGAUUUAGAGGCAAGAAUAUUGAUUGCAAGUCCUUGUCCACUUUGUUGAUUGGACAUCUUGAAUUAAGGCUGUGACAACUGUUCCCAGUUCCGACAUCAUAUCUGGCUAUGGAACUCAUUUUAAGUUGGUUUUACUCGUUUUUCUGUAGGUAAUGUACUCUUUUAACGAACUCCAGUAAAUUGACAUGCAUGGAAAAGUUAUAUCUUAAGUUACAUAUGCUUUCCGUUAAUCCUAUUAGAAGGACACCCACUUAGAAAAUUAAUAAUUAUUGGAAGUAUGUCACGACAUGCAUUAGACACGGAAUGAAUUGUAUUUGUUCUCGUUAUCCUAAUGAACUUACAAUUACGCAAUGUCUUGUAACCCAAUCUCAAAAUUGAGGAAUUGUUCCAAAGCAUGACAAACACUGAAGUGAUAACUAAAGUGAACGUGAUUUAUUAAACGUUUACAUGAUAAUGAUGAUAGCAUAAAUUAAAAGCAUUUCACUGAUCCUUAACGUCACACCGAAUACAUUUGAUGAAAAUAACUUAACAACACAUAUGAAAACAAGACAAUAAACAGAAAAGAACAUUUAAAUUAAUAAAGAAACAAUUAAUACUAAAACUUAUAUUAACGACAAGUUUGUUUUACAAGAAGGCGAACUGCAAGCAGACUAUGAUGUAAGAGGAGAUGAGCCUGGACAGCUGCAGCGGCAGUUCAGCGUCCACUUGGAAGAGGCGACACCCGUCCAGCUUACUGAACAGAGAUCUUCGUGCUCGAUGGAUGUUCUUGUACACUCGCAUAUCGAGUUCUGUGAGAGAAAAUAUUUAAAUAAUAUAGCAGCAUUAAAAAGUGUAAUAGAUUUGUUUUUUAAAUCAAUCGCAAGCUACUGGGAAAGAGCUCAAUAGAUGUCACCGUGUUUGUUGAUGUUUAACUUCUGGUCAUGGUCUCACACUCCUUCCCGUCCAUGCACAGUGAGAGGGGGCAUUUGAUUAUUUUCCAUCUCCCAAGAAAUAUAUAGUGUCAGUUUA